CUUGCACUGUGGGGCUUGUUUCGGACAGAUGUGGGGUGCAAUGGACAGUCCCCACAGUCCCUUCUCACUGUAAUGGACCAUCGCAGGCAAGCUUUUCCCUCCAGAUUUAGACCACUUUCUGUUGGAGCCACAGCCAGGUCACUAUAAAACCAUACUUGGAGAAUGCUGACCCCAAGGGCCCCCACCUGCACUCCUCCCCCUCCAGCAGCUUUCGGUAGGUGGCAAUCUCCACGUCCAGGGCCAGCUUGGUGUUCAGGAGCUCCUGGUACUCCCGCAGCAGCCGGGCCAUGUCCUCCUUGGCCUUCUGCAGAGCAACCUGCAAGUCUUGGAAUUUGGUAUCAGCAUCCUUGAGGGCCCGCUCACCACGCUGCUCAGCCUCUGCAAUGGAUGUCUGCAGAUCUCAGGUGUGAACUCAAACUUGGAACCGUAAGAAGGAGCAGAGUGAAGCUGUGGAAUCAAGAGACCAGACACACCAAAUGAAUUUGCAUGCUACAGCCCUGGACCAAGGCCCAGGAAGCACUCAGACCCAGUUCUGACCCAAACCUACUGCUUCAAAAUAGCAGCAACUGGAACACAUGGGUGUGCCCCUUUUGAUAACCUUCCUAGGUGAUUCCUAUGGAGUUCUCAAGGAACCCUUUUGCUCAUCUGGGCUGAUGUAGGAGGGGAACCUGCCAACCACUAAAAGAUAUGUAAGGAUGGGUCCCAUAUGACUGAGUCCCCACUUUCCAAGCUUCUACUUGGCCAGACUUCACUCAAUAAACUUAUCAGAAAAUAUUAACUAAA